CAAAUGAUCCACUCGUCUUGGCUUGGCUUCCCAAAGUGCUGGGAUUACAGGUGUGAGCCACUGCACCUGGCUUGUUUAUUCAUGAUUUCUUUUGGUACAUCUAUGUUGAGAAUAUACUAGGUGCCAGGUACAAUGACCAGAAAACAAACGAACAAACAAACAAACAAACAAAAAACGGACAGGCAAGAGAAGAAAUUUCUCACAAUGCAAAUAAGGCUAUAAGAUCACAGGAUAAGAGAAGAGACUGCUUAACCUUGGGAAUUAUUGUUGCACAAAAGUAAAACUUAAGGGUAGAAAUGUUUGGUAUUAUUAUUUUAAUCAUACAUAAAGCUACUCAACCUCUUGACUCUUAUUGUAAAUUAGAAUUAAACAUAAAGUUCUGGUUCCUGACAUUUUCUGAUGGCCCAAGUUUUCUAUUCUUCUUCUAUUUUAAUUGUACUCUAUUUCCUGGAUUAACGGGCCACCUUGAACUGAAAAUGUUGGUCAAUGUUUUACUUGAUCCCCGUAUUUGGAGUCAGGUAGGUAUGUCUGUAUAUAUGUACAUAAGCAUGUAUUUUUCAUGCCUGUGGAAGUUGGAAUCUACAGUUAUAUAAGGUUAAAAAAAAAAAAAAAAAA